ensembl:lncRNA
UCGACAAGGAAAUGUAGUUAUUUCUGAGACGUACAUUUCAAAGGAAGUUCUUACAUACCAAGAGCAGGCAGCCAGACGUCGGAAGUUAGGAAGGGUGACCCAGAUCCAGGGACCAGCAUGAAAGCCCACAGCCACGGGACAGCCUGAGUGAGCGAGCACCUCGGACGCCCCAGGUCAGAGCUGGAGACGGAAGCAGGGCUGACUCCGGAGGACCCGCUGCAGGUUCACACCCCACCCUGUGGAACCCAGGUUCUCAAGGUAUCCUUGGGCCAGAGCAGCGGCAUCACCUGGGAACAAAUGAGAAAUACAAAUUCUCGGGCCGCGCCCAAGACCCGCUGAACCGGAAACUGGGGGUGGGGUCCAGCAUCUGUGUUUCAAUGAGCUCUCUGAUUCUGAAGCAAGCUAAGGUUUGAAAACCACGGAGGCAGAGGAUGAGAAGAAGGAUUUAAGCUGGCAUUGGGAGCAGACGACUGUUGGCAAGAUAAAAAAAGAAUUGUGUAGUGAUGAGAGGGGGCCAAACAGACUGCCCCACCCCCAUCCCGGGCCCUCUAGGAUCUAAACCACGCUCCCUGAAGCAGUGGUUUCAGAGAACCCUGGUCUAGUCCCAAUUCCACUCCUCCCUGGGGCAUGAGUCACUUCCUGCUGGUCUGGCCCCAUUCGUCCUGGAGAAAGACGACGCCCAGGAGAAGCGGUAGUGAGGUCACCCAGCCCUAGAGAGGCCACCUUCCAGCUUCCUAUAAGCUGAGCAACCUCCUCCAAGGCUGUAUUUUAAGGGGAAACAAUAACUGCAGCAAGGACCUUGCAUCACCAGGAGAACUGGUCUCCACACAGCCUGUAUGCUGGUGGAACUGCCCAGGGCCUGGCAGGACUAGAGCAGGGUCAGUUAAGGACACUGCCAGGUGACUGUAGCGUCGCUCUGUUUGUAACGAGACUGACGCAUGCAGCGUCACCAUGCAGGCACUAAAUUGGUUGGGGAAUGAAUGGCUUUUCUUGGAAAGGCAGUAACUCACUCUGGAUGCUACUGAAAUUAGAAAACAAAACCCAAAAUCGAACCUGCAGCCUUCCCUACAGACAAUGUCUUGGCCCUUGAACUUCUACAACCCGCAAAGGUGCCAGGUUCCACCAAUGCCCUUUUUCCCCAUCAAUCAGAUCCCUAAGGUCCACCGAUUAUUGCUUUGACUUUCUGAUUUAUGGCUGAAACUCUGUGAAGGUCCACAAACCUUCGGAAGUAACUAGUUAGUGCCCUAGUGGUCAUUUACACCUAGCUGUGGGCUACAGAAUCUGUCUUCGUGUAAGGAUUUCUGGGAGUCAGAGCGCUGGGGUGCUGGGCCUUGGGGUGGAAGCAUAGAAGAGAAAUGGGCUGGGAAACAGCCCAGAUACAUGGCCUGGGAGAUCCAGCAUCUGCUGUUUAGUUCCUGUGAACCCUAAUCCCCUCCUGAUCAGACCCAUCCCUGGUCCUCUCAGCUGUCUCCUUGCUGAGUCCUCCCAAAUGCCCCACAGGACACUUCCAUUUCUCCAGCCCAUCUUGGAAAAAGUCUUCUGGUUAAAUGCUCAAUCUCCUGAGACCACAGAGAUCAUAUGGGGAAUAACUCAUCUCUAACAAAUUAGAACGUACUAACAAGAACAAAUAGGGCUGUCCAGUUGUGUGUUGGGGAGAGAGUGUGGGGAGAGCUAGCCGGACCCAGGAGGGGAAGAUACAGUGUUUCUUCAUGUCGCUGAGAUGCAGAAGAGUUUUCAUUGACAGCCUGGCCUCUUUUUGUGAAUUUUCUCACGAAACAUUUCUGGCCCAAGACCUUAAGGCCAUGUUAUGUGUUUCCCUGAGGUUAGUCACUUAUCACAAAGGCUCCUAUGGGACAAAAGGAUGCAGAGUGGGAUGGCAGAAUGUGGACACAGAGGCCUGCGGUAGUUCGGGAAACAGGGUGGGUUUUGUUCUCGUUGGCAGGCAGGCCAGGGACACCUUGUGGACUGAGGGUGAGAGGCUCAUAUCCAGCCAGAACACCGCGUAGAGUGAGUGAAUAAGGGGGAGUGUUCAUUGGGAAGCCUGGAUACGGGUGAGACGCACGCAGUGUGCCACUGGGUAGGACAUACCAGCCAUUUACAUUUGCCAGAAACACUAGAGAGAACCAUGUCCCAAUACCAGCUGGUUCCUGCCAUUCUCAGGAGCAGGGAGGAGCUGGUACCUCUGGACCCCUGAGCUGACACGUCUCCAGAGUCAGGGUCCCACUCCAUGAGAACGUUCAGUUGAGUGAAAAGGAACAACAGGCCUCAUUUCCCAGAUGCCUAAUGGGGUGCCUGACCAGGGCACUGGAAAACAUGGUUGUGUGAGGCUAGUAUGGCUCCCCAACUCUUGCCUCCUCUGCCGUCCCAGGCCCCCUCCUCAAAGCUAGAAGAGGGUCUUGUCUAUCGCAACACCUGGGUGGCUAGCAGGGCAGCUGGCCCACCGCAUGUGCUCCAUACAUGCUGAAAUAAAUGGCAGAGCAGAGAUCACUUAACUUCCAUGAGCGCAUGGGGUUUGAAAAACCAAGAUGCUCCAGUGGAGGAAGACUCCGCCAUCUCUUCUUUUCAUGUACAAGUUUAGGUCCUUUAUAAAUGCAGGUGGUGGAGGAUGGAAGUGCAUCCUCCUGCAUCUGAAGGGCAACAGUGGAAAGAGAAGAGAGUGGGGUUGUUUGGAGAGGGACCCCCUCCCAGCUAUAACCUGUAACAGGAGCCCCUAGGCGAGGAGCAGGGGUAGGUGGGCCUCCACGAGACCACUUACUCCUCCCCAAAGUCAGGGGCAGCAUCCGAGGAGAGAAAGCCGUACUGUGUUAAUGCCCCCAGCCCUGUGCUGCUCUCCAGGCCCUUUUAUCAGAUUCGCUGUAGAGGAGAUUCAUCAAGAUGAAGCUCAAUCCCCAAGAGACUAAUGAAAAGAGGGCAACAGACAUGAGAAGGGCCGAAAUGCAGACGGUGUGUGUUAAUCACAGGCAAGAGAAACACGUCGCCUCUAAUGUCUGUUUGCUUUUAUCUUGAAAUGAAAAUGCAUCUCUGCUGCCAAGACCCUUUUCCCUGAGCAUUUCAGUACAGAAAUGGGACGCACACACAUACACACACAUAUGCCCACACAAACAAAAUUGGAGGGUUCUUUUCCCCAGUGGAAAGAGCUAUCAGAGAAAUGAGCCCACAGGUUGUGUCUAUUUGCAGAAGCAGAAAAUCGACCGCAAGUCUCAGCUACAGGCUCCAGCCCCCAUGUAGAAAAGGGAGUGAAAAGCAUGACGAGGCAUCAGCCCUUGGGAAGAGUUCAUUAACAGCUCUGUGAUGGGGGCCUCCACCUGUGCCUGGGGGUCACAGGUGUGACUAUCACGUGCACAUCCACCCCUGGAGACAAAAGUACAUCCGUCCUGGUGCAUAUGGAAUGCAAGGAUCUGGAGCCCCUACCCCAGCCCCCCAGCUCCCUUACACGGCUGCAGAGGAGCCUCUGGCAGCUGGGAUUCUGGAGAGGUCAUGCCCAUCUUUACCAGUCAGUUUCAAGGGGUGGAAAUAAAGCAGAAGCAUUUUGGAGGUCGGUAAGCUAGACCAGUAGCCAGGGCUGAUCACCCAAAAAAGCAAGAGAAGAGAUUGAGGGGAAAGGUGACUCAGAGUUGGAGAGGGAACAGGUGAGGCUGUGCAGGAGUGACAGCAACAGGGACACCCCUCACCGGGGAAGCCAGAGGAUUGCUCUGGAUUGAAAGCCAUAUCCAGAUUUCAGCCAAGUAGGGGUGAGUCUGGCCAUAUGACCACAGAGGCAGUCAAAUCAAUUGCUUCCAAAGUCAGAGCUGUUUGAAGGUGAUUUCAGUUCUUUGUUGAGCUAGUCAUGAUGGAUCAAUCCAGCUGAUUGCUUCCAGCCUGACCUCAGUGCUUCCAGAACCGGUUGUUGGUGGACUGAGCUGGACAGGCUCGGAAUGAGAUUGAAGAAAACCAGUUGGUGAGUCUAGAAAAGAAAUUGCGUGUAGAAAUCAGUUGUUUUCAAAGAAAUCUGUAGGGAUUAGAGUGGGUCUGCUGUGUUAUUGGCAUGGACAUUAUGUCAGUAAGGUAAGAGCCAGAAUGAUUUUGUGGGGCAUUCAUUUGGAAAAUUAAUAUAUUAAAUGUAAAUUCUCAGAGACAAGUAGCUAAGGACAGCUAAAUAUAUGUGUCAUAUACAUAUCUAUAAUGCAGAAAUAAGUGAAGUAUAGAAUGAAGAUGUCGAUGGUUCACAUUUUAAAUUCCUUAGAAGCCCUGGUUUGGAUGUUAGACUUUUUCUUAUUGUUGUUUACUUCUAGCUCUCAAAGCACUGGAACAGUGCCUGGCACAUAGUAGGAGUUUGCUAAGCGUUUAGAAAUUGAUGGUCCAGCUCGUCACCACUCAGUAGACACUCAGUAGUGUCACUAUACCCCAAGUUAAAUGAGCUGCAGAGAAGCGGGUCGGCGACAUCCUCCUCGUAGACCAUCACAACUGGCUGCAGAGAAGCCUUUGUGGAUUCCCAGAUUCGGUGCUGUGUUCAGCCAGCUGCAUGUCUUGGGUCUGGCUCUCUGGUAGUGAUCAGUGAUGGGAUGUUACAUUAAGUGAGCUGAUCCCACUUAAACCAAAUCUGCAUAACUUCCAGCAAGCUAUUUCUACAGGGAACGGGGCUGGGGGCUCCCCUCUUACUGCCUCUGCCAUUUCCUAAAUACUCAAUGAUAUUCUGUUGAAUUUUGCCAACUUCAGUUCUGGAACUAAAUGUAAAGGUUCUGGGCUCAGCCAGUCUGAAAGGUCUAGAAAUUCCUUCUCUCUGCCCUUCCCUUCUCCCUCAUCUGGAGAUGCCACCACCAUUUAGAUGCCUUGGAUGGCUGUUUCUUCCCAGCUGCCCAACCACAGUGUGUGGGGAAAAGGUCCGGUGAGCUUUCUCUCCUUGGAACCUCUGUGGUGUCGACACUACAGACAGAGGAAAGACCAGUAGCAUCAUUUUAUAGAAUCACCUUAGAUCACUGUUACAGUCUGGGCAGUUCCUGCCAGUGUGGCCAGAAUGCCUCUCGCUGUGGCCGUCUGCAUCUCCGUGGCUGGGCCAGUGUGUACCUGACACGUGUCAGACUUCUGAGAUCUUCCAGCUGCCUCAGAGUGAAUUCUUUCCGUUUACAAAAUGUGUUUAUUUGCUAAAUAUACUAUUGUGUGUGUAUGAGUGUCAUACAAGGCAAACUCUGGACUAUCUAGUUAGAAGGAUGUUGUGUGUUUAUAGCAUCUUGAAUCUAAUUUCAGGAGAGCACACUAUCAACUUGCCCAAUGAACGAGGUUGCCCAGUCACAGAAGAUCAGAGAAAAUGCCCUUUCACACCCCUCCCCUCUCUCAGCACCCCUCCCCUGCCUAACUGAGCUGUCUUAUCCACUCCAGGCUGACACAGAGUGAGGGGCACCGAGAAUCGGUAUGUAUAUAAAGAUAUAGGAAGAAAUAAGUACCACCACAGGAAUCUGCUGGGCUUCUUCCCAUGACUGUGAUCUUACCCAUGUUUGAAUCACAAACUUUAAAUUUCUAACAAUUCAGAUUCUUGCCAUUUCCAAGUAAUUUGUUAAAUGCCUAUUCAACACAUAGACAGAUAUUUAUUUUCAACCUUGGCUUGUAAAUGUCUACAAACUGAUUCAUGUUGGUGGUCAUUACGACACUUUCUGUGAAUUGGUGAAUAAAUAUGAUUUUCGAAUUUCACAGU